rnacentral:lncRNA from 1 species
GUACCUGAAGUCAAAAUUUUCAAAUAAAUUCUUGCAGCCAUACCAAAUCAUGUACAGCGACAAAAAUUUGCGGGGUAUUGUGAGAUUGAGUACAGAGAUUAAACUAAGAUCUGAACAUAACAGUAGAAAACUAAGAUCUGAACAUAACAGUAGAUGCUAGGGUGCACCAAAUAACCCAACAAAAGCCUACUUCGCAUAAUUUUUUAUUUCUUUAAUGUUAGAUGAAAAUCAAAUAUGCACUAGUAAUCCAAGGCCUAGAUGCUAUUAGUUUCUGAUGACAACAUGCCAUAGCAUUGUUGUAAUGUUAUGAAUAAUGGAUAGCCUAUAUCCUAUCCAUAACAAACAGAUUUUAUUUAUCUAGUAGUUUUUUUUUUCAGAUUUUCCAUUAUCU